GCCUACGGCCAUACCACCCUGAACGCGCCCGAUCUCGUCUGAUCUCGGAAGCUAAGCAGGGUCGGGCCUGGUUAGUACUUGGAUGGGAGACCGCCUGGGAAUACCAGGUGCUGUAAGCUU
rnacentral:rRNA from 3 species